rnacentral:pre_miRNA from 1 species
CCACCCUUGCUUGGAUGCCAUUGAAACACUGCUAGCUAAAACAUAACUUCGUCCACAAAUUCAUCGUUGCCCUAAGAGUUUGCAGACUUGUAGUCAUAGACUCUGGUGUGCAAACUACAGAGAAUACAUGAAGAAUAUUUCCUGAAUGUCCUUUCUAUUACCUAUCUGUCUCAAGCAAUAGGCUUUGGAGGUUUCAGGAAACCACUGCAUCUGAGCUAGAGAGAUCAAAGAGUAAUCUGGAUUUCCUUGCCUGCAGGUGUUCUCGAUGGCUUCCUUGCCUAGUG